GGUGCCAUAGCCAAGUGGUAAGGCAGUGGUCUGCAAAACCACCAUUCCCCAGUUCAAAUCUGGGUGGCACCU
rnacentral:tRNA from 2 species